rnacentral:lncRNA from 1 species
AGGAAUGAAUUGUUUAACAAAGGAGUAAUAGGGCUAUCAAUGUCGUCGACAUCAACGAAAUGACCGAUCGGGGGUGGUGGGCUCAGCCUGCUGAUAAGCCUGGCCAUCCACGGAAGCCACCGAGGAUGGCUGCUACUGCCAAAGCUAGAAUCGAAGCAUAUUCUGGCAGGGAUAAUUAUAAAAUAAGAAGGCUGACUCCGGCAGUGCUUGCGGCGGCUGCGGUAGGUCAGCCUUCGUAUUCCGCCAUGCGGAUAGGCACGGACCAAGAAGACUAAUGGAGCUAGAACAAGGGGAAGAGGGAGGGAAAGAUCGAGCGUAGCGGGAGGGUAGAUGAAGAUGAUAGGAAUCGACAGCUUCUAUAUGCCAAGGGCGACUAACUCCCAGUAACGCAGUCGUUGAGGUUUCGGGUACGAGGAUUGAACGGGCAGGGGACUAAGAAGAGAAGAGAGGAUAGAGCAACCCACCUGAUCGUCCCAGGCCUUCUCGUUGUUGUAGAUGACGGCGGCUCCAAAGCUCCGGGCGGGGUUGAUGCCGGUGCCGGUGAUAGGGAUGGUGGCGAGGUGCACCAUGAAAACCGCGAACCCGAUGGGGAGAGGAGCUAGCACCUGCAGCGACGUCGACGUCAGCCAGGGAAACGUCGAAUACCACAUUGUUUUAGUAAAUCCAGGCGAGGGAACCGUGGAGAUAUUCCACGUGGAAUUGCGCAAGGAGAUUGUACGCGGUCUUCUCUCGAACCCCGUCGAUGCUCCCAUUAAUUAUAACUUUAUUUGGCUUAUCUUCCCUACGGUCUAGUAACUCGGUUGCGGAUGAGGAGGAGAGCAGGAUAGGGGAGUGGAGGGUGGAGGAGAAGGUGACGUCAUAUGUGGGGGGAGGGGGGGGAGGGACAACAUGGGUCCCUGCAGCUGACAGCUGGCGCGGACAGCUCCAUCCCUCUGUGAAUCUACUACGAUAUAUUACCGCAGAGGCCGAGACGUGACGUGACCUGGGACGAAUCCCCUCACCUCCGCUUAAGUUAUCCCCUCCGCCGCCGCCAGCACGACUGGCAGCUCCACCGAUCGGGGAGUGCUCUAUGAGACCAGGCGACGGCGGUGCGCCAUGAGCUGAGAUAGAUGGAGAUAAAGAACGAAACGGGAGGGCUUACCGGGACGUAGGAGUCGCGGGCGUUGCGCUUGGGAUCGGUGGCGGAGAAGACGGUGUAGACCAGGACGAAUGUACCGAUGAUCUCCGCCCCCAGGCCGGUGCCCUUGGAGUAACCUGUGGCGAGCAUGUUGGCCCCGCCUUCGUAGCGGUUGUAGUAGGCCUUCUGAAAGGCCUUGACGAGCCCAACGCCUGAAAUGGCCCCCAGGCACUGCGCCACCAUGUAUGCGAUGGCCCGCACAAGGGAAACCUUCCUCGCUAGGAACAGCCCAAACGUCACCGCCGGAUUGAUGUGCCCC